rnacentral:tRNA from 1 species
AGUAUAAUGCCUGAUUAAAGGAUAACAUUGAUGUUGUUAAUAAUAUAGGAUCGCCCUAUUUAUACUU